UUGAGGACCAAUAAUAAAAGCAUGGCUAUCCGAUUGCGAAAGAAAAUCGUUAUAUGAAGCCCCUUUUAGGCCAAAUAGGAAUAUGUGUCGAAGCGACGGAGAGGUCCCCGAGUUGGCCAUUUUCGAAUUGUGCAUGUAUUAGUGAUGGGGCGAAUGGCGGAGAACAGUACGACAUGGAUAUGAUGGAUAUUAGAAGCUCCAUUUACAGCGUAAUCAUUUUUGUAGAGGUAAUUUGGAGUACAGUAUGGAGAAUAUAUGAAAAUUGUUAUUGGCUGGUACUAAAAUACACCGUCUGAAAGACAGCCCAAUAUUUUUGAAAUUAAAUAAUGUGAUGAGGAGUACAGUACAUCCCAAAUAUA